rnacentral:lncRNA from 1 species
GAACACACAGCAGAUGCACCCUCACACCCCCUACAGUGUGCAGGUUGAAUGGGGAACACAGCAGAUGCCCGACACAUUGGUGUUUUUAAAGUUUCUUUCUCUAAACACAGCUGUUCAGUAUCCACUGCCCUCUGGCAUUACAACACACAACAGCCAGGGCCAUAACACACACACAUAAAUAUCACUCACACACACAUAAAUAUCACACACACACAUAAAAUCACUCACACACACAUAAAUAUCACUCACAACACAAAUAAAUAUCAC